rnacentral:rRNA from 1 species
GCUAAACGCGAAGAACCUUACCCAGGCUUGACAUCCCUGGAAGGUCUCCGAAAGGAGACUGUGCCUUCGGGAAUCAGGUGACAGGUGCUGCAUGGCCGUCGUCAGCUCGUGUCGUGAGAUGUUUGGUUAAGUCCCGCAACGAGCGCAACCCCUGUGAUUUGUUGCCACCCGGUUUACCGGCGCACUCGAAUCAGACUGCCUCGAUCAACGAGGAGGAAGGUGGGGACGACGUCAAGUCCGUAUGGCCCUUACGACCAGGGCUGCACACGUACUACAAUGCCCAGUACAAUGUGAACCGAAACCGCGAGGUGGAGGAAAUCCUUAAAACUGGGCUCAGUUCAGAUUGGAGUCUGCAACUCGACUCCAUGAAGUUGGAAUCGCUAGUAAUGGCGCAUCAGCUACGGCGCCGUGAAUACGUUCCCGGGUCUUGUACACACCG